GAACGUUCACACCAAGCGUGUCAGUCAUGUCUGUAAGUCAUCUCCCACCAACACAGGUCAGGUUUUCCUGCCCAAUGAGCUUGGGGAUGGCUUGACUUUGGAGCUCUUUGGAUCUGUGGAUUUUGGAAUUUUGGAUUUCUGAUACCCGUUUGAUCAAAGAGGCAACCGAGGUCUAACGGGUCAAGUGACUUUCCCAUAUCCGUGAAGGUCAUGAAAAGCAGGGCCAGGAUGGUGGCCUGGGGUGCCUUGAAUGAUAAGCUGGGCCCUUCACUGUGCAGGCCCCUCUCCUUCAGUCCACUCUGCCACUGCUGUCUGCCACACCCUGCUCUGAUAGCUCCUCUCUGCCAGGCUUUUCCCUCACAUCCUCAACUCAGCCAAGAGCUGGUUUCUUCCAGAGAGCCCUGCUGUGCAGUCAGUUAUUGGACUUCUCUUUUUGUGCAUGUUUGUUUUCAGGGUUUAGCUGAUCAAAGUGGUAUCGUUGUAACAGGCAGCUCUAAAUAGAAGUCUUCAGAAGCC
rnacentral:lncRNA from 1 species